GAGAGCCGUGUGCUGAGGAAACCUGCAAGCACGGUUCGGGGGAGGGCCGAUGGAAAAGGGCUGGCCCAGACACCACCAGAUGUAUUCUGGCAGGUCAAAGCGAUGACAGUACCUCGCCAGCGGCCUAUCCUAC
rfam:Ktedonobacter racemifer DSM 44963 strain SOSP1-21 Krac_Contig202, whole genome shotgun sequence.